rnacentral:sRNA from 1 species
GACCGAGUGGUUGAGGCAAGGGAUGAGUUGCACAGGAUGCUGAAUGAGGAGUAUUUAUGUUUUCCUUAUUUCAAAUGCCUAAAAGAGAAAACACACAAAAAAGAAAAGGAAUGAAAGUGCAAUAUAACAGAAGCUAGCCCUGCAGCUUUCUGUGCAAUAAUAUAAAAUAAAAAAUCUGUCCUACAAUCCCUACAUUCUAGAUGUUCAAUCCUAGAGGUGAAGGAGAGGGUGUUGAGAUCUGACAUCAACUAUAGAUGUGAAGUAGAGCUUAUAAAAUGUUGAGCAAGGCCAUAUGAGUUAGUUUUUG